rnacentral:rRNA from 1 species
AUUGGACGCUGCGGCAGGCCUAACACAUGCAAGUCGAGCGGUAGAGAGAAGCUUGCUUCUCUUGAGAGCGGCGGACGGGUGAGUAAUGCCUAGGAAUCUGCCUGGUAGUGGGGGAUAACGUUCGGAAACGGACGCUAAUACCGCAUACGUCCUACGGGAGAAAGCAGGGGACCUUCGGGCCUUGCGCUAUCAGAUGAGCCUAGGUCGGAUUAGCUAGUUGGUGGGGUAAUGGCUCACCAAGGCGACGAUCCGUAACUGGUCUGAGAGGAUGAUCAGUCACACUGGAACUGAGACACGGUCCAGACUCCUACGGGAGGCAGCAGUGGGGAAUAUUGGACAAUGGGCGAAAGCCUGAUCCAGCCAUGCCGCGUGUGUGAAGAAGGUCUUCGGAUUGUAAAGCACUUUAAGUUGGGAGGAAGGGUUGUAGAUUAAUACUCUGCAAUUUUGACGUUACCGACAGAAUAAGCACCGGCUAA